CGAAGGACCCGAGCGUUAUCCGGAUUUAUUGGGUUUAAAGGGUGCGUAGGCGGAUUAGUAAGUCAGUGGUGAAAGCCCGUCGCUCAACGGCGGAACUGCCAUUGAUACUGCUAGUCUUGAGUAUGGUUGAGGUGGGCGGAAUGUGUCAUGUAGCGGUGAAAUGCUUAGAUAUGACACAGAACACCAAUUGCGAAGGCAGCUCGCUAAGCCAUAACUGACGCUGAUGCACGAAAGCGUGGGGAGCAAACAGGAUUAGAUACCCUGGUAGUCCACGCCCUAAACUAUGAUCACUCGUUGUUGGCGAUACACAGUCAGCGACUAAGGGAAACCAUUAAGUGAUCCACCUGGGGAGUACGACCGCAAGGUUG
rnacentral:rRNA from 1 species